AUGCAUCCAAACCUAAAGGUUGUAUUCUUGAAUGUCUCGGGUCAUAAUUCCCAUGCUAAGAGAUAUGCAGUUUGCAUGGUGAUCGCGGUGGCUGCCCCUUGCAUCGUGUGUUUCCAGGAAACCAAGAUGGAGAACUUCUCCACCUCCCUAGUUCUCAAAACGCUCGGAGCUCAGUUCCACGACUUCUACUAUCUCCCUGCCUCUAGCACCCUUGGCGGAAUUCUGCUAGCCUGA
rnacentral:rRNA from 1 species